rnacentral:rRNA from 1 species
CCUACGGGCGGCAGCAGUGGGGAAUAUUGCGCAAUGGGCGAAAGCCUGACGCAGCGACGCCGCGUGAGGGAUGAAGGUCUUAGGAUCGUAAACCUCUGUCAGCAGGGAAGAACGGUCACUGUGCUAAUCAGCAGUGAAUUGACGGUACCUGCAAAGGAAGCACCGGCUAACUCCGUGCCAGCAGCCGCGGUAAUACGGAGGGUGCGAGCGUUAAUCGGAUUUACUGGGAGUAAAGCGCGCGUAGGCGGUAUGUCAAGUCAAGGGUGAAAUCCCCGCGCUCAACGUGGGAACUGCCUCUGAAACUGGCAAACUAGAGUGUGGUAGAGGAUAGUGGAAUUCAAGGUGUAGGAGUGAAAUCCGUAGAGAUCUGGAAGAACAUCGGUGGCGAAGGCGACUAUCUGGCACAUAACUGACGCUGAGGAGCGAAAGCGUGGGUAGCAAACAGGAUUAGAUACCCCUGUAGUC